GCAUAACGCGAAGAACCUUACCUACUCUUGACAUCUACGGAAGACUGCAGAGAUAGGGCUUUCCUUCGGGGCAGCGGUGACAGGUGGUGCAUGGUUGUCGUCAGCUCGUGUCGUGAGAUGUUGGGUUAAGUCCCGCAACGAGCGCAACCCUUAUCUUUAGUUGCCAGCAUUCAGUUGGGCACUCUAGAGAGACUGCCGUCGACAAGACGGAGGAAGGCGGGGAUGACGUCAAAUCAUCAUGCCCCUUAUGACCUGGGCUACACACGUGCUACAAUGGUUGGUACAACGGGAUGCUACCUCGCGAGAGGAUGCCAAUCUCUUAAAACCAAUCUCAGUUCGGAUUGCAGGCUGCAACUCGCCUACAUGAAGUCGGAAUCGCUAGUAAUCGCGGAUCAGCAUGCCGCGGUGAAUACGUUCCCGGGUCUUGUACACACCG
rnacentral:rRNA from 1 species